rnacentral:rRNA from 1 species
GACGAACGCUGGCGGCUUGCUUAACACAUGCAAGUCGAACGGAAGGGCCCUGCUUUUGUGGGGUGCUCGAGUGGCGAACGGGUGAGUAACACGUGAGUAACCUGCCCUUGACUUUGGGAUAACUUCAGGAAACUGGGGCUAAUACCGGAUAGGAGCUCCUGCUGCAUGGUGGGGGUUGGAAAGUUUCGGCGGUUGGGGAUGGACUGGCGGCUAAUCAGCUUGUUGGUGGGGUAGUGGCUUACCAAGGCUUUGACGGGUAGCCGGGCUGAGAGGGUGACCGGCGACGUUGGGGGUGAGCUGCGGCCCAGACUCCUACGGGAGGCAGCAGUGGGGAAUAUUGCACAAUGGGCGGAAGCCUGAUGCAGCAACGCCGCGUGCGGGAUGACGGCAUUCGGGUUGUAAACCGCUUUCGCAUGUGACGAAGCGGGAGUGACGGUAAUGGGUAAAGAAGCACCGGCUAACUAAGUG